CGGCUCCCCCCCCCCCCCCCCGCCCCCUCCCCCUCCCUUUCUCUGGGCCGGGUGUGAGUGAGUGAGUGCGGGGCUAGCCAGCGGUGAGACAUCGCUCAUUCCCCGGGGCCUGCCAAGGACACCUCCAGUGUGUAUUGUUUUAUGUGAUACGUACACACGAAAGCCGCCCGGGGUCGGUUUGUGUAGGAGCGGGAGGUGGUGGCGUGCGCGGGCGGGGCUCCUUGACUCGGCCCUGACCUUUAUCUUUUUUUUUAAAAAAAAAUUAUUAUUAAAAACCUUUCCGCUCUCAGCCUUUGAUCCGGGCGGCGCAGCGGCUUACCCGGUUAUUUUUUUUUAAACUUCUCCCCCUCCCCUCCCCCCCCACUCCACCACCACACCCGCCAUUCUCACCGCACCCCGUCUCUCUCGGAGCGAUGUCGGAGGCCGUGCCGUUCUCCGAGGUGGAGGCCCAGGCUGCCGGCCAAGGCCUACAGGAUAUGGCGGCGGCGGCGGCCGCCGAGGCUGGGGCGGCAGCGGCGGGCAUGGGCGAUCCGGCGAUGGAGGCCAAGGCGAGCGACGGCGGGAAUGGAUCGGGCGCGAUCGCCGAGACCGAAGGGGCCAAGAUCGACGCCAGCAAAACGGAAGAGGACGAAGGAAAAAUGUUUGUGGGUGGCCUCAGCUGGGAUACCACAAAGAAAGAUCUGAAGGACUAUUUCUCUAAAUUUGGAGAGGUGGUAGAUUGCACAUUAAAGUUGGAUCCCAUUACAGGGCGUUCAAGAGGAUUUGGAUUCGUCCUGUUUAAAGAGGCUGACAGUGUGGAUAAGGUUAUGGAGCAGAAGGAACAUAAAUUGAAUGGCAAGGUAAUUGAUCCUAAAAAAGCCAAGGCCAUGAAAAAGGAGCCCGUAAAGAAGAUAUUUGUAGGAGGUCUUUCACCUGAUACAGUCGAGGAGAAGAUCAGGGAAUAUUUUGGAGCUUUUGGGGAAGUGGAAUCAAUAGAACUUCCCAUGGAUAACAAAACAAACAAAAGGCGUGGAUUCUGUUUCAUAACAUUCAAGGAAGAGGAACCAGUUAAAAAGAUUCUGGAAAAGAAAUUCCAUAAUGUUGGGCUCAGCAAAUGUGAGAUCAAAGUGGCCAUGUCAAAGGAAGUCUAUCAGCAGCAACAGCAGUGGGGAGUUGGUCGAGGUACUUUUGCAGGCAGAGGACGUGGGAGAGGAGGAGGGACUGGUGCAGGAGCCCCAAGCCAGAACUGGAGCCAAGGAUAUAAUAACUACUGGAAUCAAGGCUAUGGCAGCUAUAACUAUGGCUAUAAUAGCCAGGGCUAUGGAGGUUAUGGUGGCUAUGACUACCCUACUUAUAAUAACUACUAUGGAUAUGGUGACUAUGGCAAUCAACAGAGUGGUUAUGGGAAAGCACCACGACGUGGAAGUCAUCAGAAUAGCUACAAACCAUACUAAGAUUUGUCCCUGCAGCCCAUUGGAAGCAGCGGGAACUUCAUUGCAGGCCAUGUGUCACCCUGACCACACGAUUCUCACAGGCCCGCUCAAUGCGGACAGAGUACGAGACGCUCGCGCUCUCGAAUGCUGCCGUUUGGUGAAGGAACAGUAUUUUACUCCAGAUAGAAGAUUCAUAGGAAGUGGUGUUUAGACCUCUAUAAAAGCAGCAUUUAAUUGUUCAAAUACAUUUUUUGUUCUGUAUUAUUUCUUUUUCACCUCCCCCAAAGAACUGCUGCCAGUUUUAAGUUAAAUUCAGUUUGAAUUUAAGAAAUACUGCUUUUAUUAUUUUAUUCCUAGUAGAUGUGUUUUUCUGUGACCAACUGCUUUUGGUUUUUUUUGUACAUUUUCUCCCCCAUAUGGAUUGUUGCAUUGGAUGCAUGUGUUCAGUUCAUUGUGAUGACAUUUAGAUAUGGUACAAGUACUCUAUCGGAUUGUUGGUUUUUUAAUAAAAAAAACACCUUUUUGUAUAAUAAAAA